rnacentral:lncRNA from 1 species
GGGGACUGUUCCCCCUGUGCCCUUGUGAGGCCACAUCUGGAGCACUGUGUCCAGGCCUGGGGCCCCCAGCAGGAGAAGGAUGUGGGGCUGUUAGAGCAGGUCCAGAGGAGGGUCAAAAAGGUGGAGCACUUCUAUGAAAAAAGGCUGAGAGAAAUGGGUUGACAUUGAGCAAGGGAGUCAUUUUCACAGGCAACCAUCAGUGUAGAUCCCCCAGCAGGAAACCUUGGAAGCAGCAUCUCAGGGAGCAGGGACUGGUACAGCCCCAUACGCUUACCUUACUGCCAUCACUGAUCGUAACGAGUAGACGGAGACAAUUAGCAGCUGGGGAAAGCUCUGUGGUUUCAUUCAGCCCUCAGGAAGAAUGAAACCUACAGUGGGAAAGUGUCUCCAAAGCAGCUGAGGCAAUUUGUUCCCCCGCCCCCCCCCCCCUUGUAUGCAGCAAUGAUGAAUAAACUACCACUAUAAGUCUGGUUGUUACAAGAGCUCCUGCAGCCCUUUGGUCUUGUCGAUCAUCUGAUUGCCUUCACUGAAUGCUUCUGUGAGUGAGACCUUUUGGCAGGAGUGAAGUCUGGAAAGAUGAAACACUUGUACAUAAUGACAGAUUCAUGGAAUAACAUGAAUAUUUAUACACACUGGCAUGAGACCACUGCACAUAAUUCAUCUCAGAUGCUUCAAACCAACCAGCUUUGUGGCUUAUAGAGACAGUCAACAAACACAACCAUGCUUUGCUCUCAGUGCUAUACCAGUGUUGAUGCAAUGGCCCUGCUGAACCACGACAAGGAGACUUCAGCCCAGUAUUAUCACAAGGACCAUAGCAGCACACUGCCUGCCCCACAAGCUUUGUGGGCCAGGCAUCUCAUACCUACAACUCCACUUCCCCACCACCUUUGCAUGAAGUUGGACCUUUCCCUGACAUCCCUAAAGGACUCUUCAAGGACAAGGACCAGAAGACAGAGCUCAGGAAACCAGCCUAGGUGAGGGAUCCAUCAGAGUGAAGAAACCCUACAGGCUUAUCUGUAGUGUUACUGAGCUUCAUGCUUCCUACAGUGUUUUUCUUAUUAGAACAGGUCAGCAGAGAGAUGUCCCUCCUAAGCACACAAACCAUCUGCUGCCUGCAGCAAUGCUACAUGCUGUGGUCCAGAGGGAAGCAGAGGGACCCACAUCCUUCUAGGACUCAGCCCCAGAACCUAACUCAGAAUACUGGAAACAAGCAUUCCCGAGGGCAGGCUGCUUUCCAGGAGCAUUAUGUUGCUAAACAAUCCAAGAAACUAACAGAGAACACUACACCCACAGACUGCCAGCAGUAGUCAUAGAAGGGAUGUGGACAGGGACUUACAGCCUGACCCUGCAUAACAUCUUCUCUGUUAUGCCUGCAGUUGUGCACAAUCAAUACUGAUUAUAUCCACCCUGUC